UAGGGAAUAUUGGACAAUGGGUGAGAGCCUGAUCCAGCCAUGCCGCGUGCAGGAAGAAGGCGUUAUGCGUUGUAAACUGCUUUUUGCCAGGGGAUAAAAAGACCGUGCGCGGUUAAUUGAAGGUACCUGGUGAAUAAGCCACGGCUAACUACGUGCCAGCAGCCGCGGUAAUACGUAGGUGGCAAGCGUUGUCCGGAUUUAUUGGGUUUAAAGGGUGCGUAGGUGGCCCUGUAAGUCAGUGGUGAAAUAUCUCAGCUUAACUGAGAGGGUGCCAUUGAUACUGCAGGGGCUUGAGUACAGAUGAGGUAGGCGGAAUUGACGGUGUAGCGGUGAAAUGCAUAGAUAUCGUCAAGAACACCGAUAGCGAAGGCAGCUUACCAAGCUGUAACUGACACUGAGGCACGAAAGUGUGGGGAUCAAACAGGAUUAGAUACCCUCGUAGUCCCUGAGCGGGCUGGCAAGGCGCAU
rnacentral:rRNA from 1 species